rnacentral:rRNA from 1 species
AGUUAGUCACGAGUUUGAUCAUGGCUACAGAACGAACGCUGGCGGCAUGCCUAACACAUGCAAGUCGAACGAGAUCUUCGGAUCUAGUGGCGCACGGGUGCGUAACGCGUGGGAAUCUGCCCUUUGCUUCGGAAUAACAGUUAGAAAUGACUGCUAAUACCGGAUGAUGUCUUCGGACCAAAGAUUUAUCGGCAAAGGAUGAGCCCGCGUAGGAUUAGGUAGUUGGUGGGGUAAAGGCCUACCAAGCCGACGAUCCUUAGCUGGUCUGAGAGGAUGAUCAGCCACACUGGGACUGAGACACGGCCCAGACUCCUACGGGAGGCAGCAGUGGGGAAUAUUGGACAAUGGGCGAAAGCCUGAUCCAGCAAUGCCGCGUGAGUGAUGAAGGCCUUCGGGUUGUAAAGCUCUUUUACUCGGGACGAUAAUGACGGUACCGAGAGAAUAAGCCCCGGCUAACUCCGUG